rnacentral:misc_RNA from 1 species
GAAAUGCGAUAAGUAAUGUGAAUUGCAGAAUUCAGUGAAUCAUCGAAUCUUUGAACGCACCUUGCGCUCCUUGGUAUUCCUUGGAGCAUGCCUGCUUGAGUAUCAUGAAAUCUUCAAAGUAAAUCUUUUGUUAACUCAAUUGGUUUCUACUUUGGUAUUGGAGGUCUUUGCAGCUUCACACCUGCUCCUCUUUGUUCAUUAGCUGGAUCUCAGUGUUAUGCUUGGUUCCACUCGGCGUGAUAAGUUAUCUAUCGCUGAGGACACUGUAAAAGGUGGCCAAGGUAAAUGCAGAUGAACCGCUUCUAAUAGUCCAUUGACUUGGACAAUACUUUUAUGAUCUGAUCUCAAAUCAGGUAGGACUACCCGCUGAACUUAAGC